AGAGUUUGAUCCUGGCUCAGGAUGAACGCUAGCGGCAGGCUUAACACAUGCAAGUCGAGGGGCAUCGGGAGGGAAGCUUGCUUUCCUUGCCGGCGACCGGCGCACGGGUGAGUAACACGUAUGCAACCUGCCCUCUUCAGGGGGACAACCUUCCGAAAGGGAGGCUAAUCCCGCGUAUAUCGGUUUCGGGCAUCCGAGAUCGAGGAAAGAUUCAUCGGAAGAGGAUGGGCAUGCGGCGCAUUAGCUAGACGGCGGGGUAACGGCCCACCGUGGCGACGAUGCGUAGGGGUUCUGAGAGGAAGGUCCCCCACACUGGUACUGAGACACGGACCAGACUCCUACGGGAGGCAGCAGUGAGGAAUAUUGGUCAAUGGGAGAGAUCCUGAACCAGCCAAGCCGCGUGAGGGAAGACGGCCCUAUGGGUUGUAAACCUCUUUUGUCGGAGAACAAAACCCGGGACGAGUCCCGGACUGCGUGUAUCCGAAGAAAAAGCAUCGGCUAACUCCGUGCCAGCAGCCGCGGUAAUACGGAGGAUGCGAGCGUUAUCCGGAUUUAUUGGGUUUAAAGGGUGCGUAGGCGGUCCGUUAAGUCAGCGGUAAAAUUGCGGGGCUCAACCCCGUCGAGCCGUUGAAACUGGCAGACUUGAGUUGGCGAGAAGUACGCGGAAUGCGCGGUGUAGCGGUGAAAUGCAUAGAUAUCGCGCAGAACUCCGAUUGCGAAGGCAGUGUACCGGCGCCAGACUGACGCUGAGGCACGAAAGCGUGGGGAUCGAACAGGAUUAGAUACCCUGGUAGUCCACGCAGUAAACGAUAAAUGCUGGUUGUCCGGGUCGAAUGAGACCUGGGCGGCGAAGCGAAAGCGAUAAGCGUUCCACCUGGGGAGUACGCCGGCAACGGUGAAACUCAAAGGAAUUGACGGGGGCCCGCACAAGCGGAGGAACAUGUGGUUUAAUUCGAUGAUACGCGAGGAACCUUACCCGGGCUCAAACGGGAGUGGAAUGGACCAGAGACGGUUCAGCCUACGGGCCGCUUCCGAGGUGCUGCAUGGUUGUCGUCAGCUCGUGCCGUGAGGUGUCGGCUUAAGUGCCAUAACGAGCGCAACCCCCGCCGGCAGUUGCUAACUGGCAAUGCCGAGGACUCUGCCGGGACUGCCGCCGCAAGGCGUGAGGAAGGCGGGGAUGACGUCAAAUCAGCACGGCCCUUACGUCCGGGGCGACACACGUGUUACAAUGGGCGGUACAGCGGGAAGCCAGGCGGCGACGCCGAGCGGAACCCGAAAGCCGUUCUCAGUUCGGAUCGGAGUCUGCAACCCGACUCCGUGAAGCUGGAUUCGCUAGUAAUCGCGCAUCAGCCAUGGCGCGGUGAAUACGUUCCCGGGCCUUGCACAUACCGCCCGUCAAG
rnacentral:rRNA from 1 species